rnacentral:rRNA from 1 species
CACGUAGGGGACGAGCGUUGUCCGGAUUCAUUGGGCGUAAAGCGCGCGUAGGCGGCUCGGAAAGUCGGUCGUGAAAUGCCGGGGCUCAACCCCGGGACUGCGUCCGAUACUCCCGAGCUGGAGGCAGGUAGGGGAGAUCGGAAUUCCUGGUGUAGCGGUGAAAUGCGCAGAUAUCAGGAGGAACACCGGUGGCGAAGGCGGAUCUCUGGGCCUGCACUGACGCUCAUGCACGAAAGCGUGGGGAGCAAACAGG